GGAAGAGCCGUAGCUCAGUGACAGAGCAUGUGCUUUGCAUGCAGGAGGUCCUGGGUUCAAUCCCCGGCAUUUCCA